AGGAUGAACGCUGGCGGCGUGCUUAACACAUGCAAGUCGAACGUGAUCCAGCAGCAAUGUUGGUGAAAGUGGCAAACGGGUGAGUAACACGUAGAUGACCUGCCUCGCAGUGGGGGAUAACCACGGGAAACUGUGGCUAAUACCGCAUGGUCUUGUUCUUAUGGGAAUAGGGAUAAGUAAAGCUUAAGGUGCUGUGAGAGGGGUCUGCGUCCGAUUAGCUAGUUGGGGAGGUAACGGCUCGCCAAGGCAUUGAUCGGUAGCUGGUCUGAGAGGACGAUCAGCCACACGGGAACUGCGACACGGUCCCGACUCCUACGGGGGGCAGCAGUGAGGAAUAUUGGGCAAGUGGGCGCAAGCCUGACCCAGCAACGCCGCGUGGAGGACGAAGGCCUUCGGGUUGUAAACGUUCGUUUUUAGGGGGAAAAGGACGGAGUGGUACCCCCCAGAAUAAGUCACGGCUAACUACGUGCCAGCAGCCAC
rnacentral:rRNA from 1 species